rnacentral:lncRNA from 1 species
UCCAACUUCUCCUCUUCUAUCUUUUAUUUAAAAUAUCUUGAAUUGUAACCUUUUCAAAUUCAAACACUAAAUACAAAUCAAAAUCAAAAUUUUAAGAACUAAAUCUCAUAUUUUUAAACCAAAAUACAACUUAAUAUAUAUUUUUAUGAGAUUAAAUAGGAUAACACAACAAAAUUGAAAGUGCUUUUACUAAUUAGUCUCUACACGCCUGUUC